rnacentral:rRNA from 1 species
GAGACAGCAGUAGCCGCGGGAAUACAGAGGGUGCAAGCGUUAAUCGGAAUUACUGGGCGUAAAGCGCGCGUAGGUGGUUUGUUAAGUUGGAUGUGAAAUCCCCGGGCUCAACCUGGGAACUGCAUUCAAAACUGACUGACUAGAGUAUGGUAGAGGGUGGUGGAAUUUCCUGUGUAGCGGUGAAAUGCGUAGAUAUAGGAAGGAACACCAGUGGCGAAGGCGACCACCUGGACUAAUACUGACACUGAGGUGCGAAAGCGUGGGGAGCAAACAGGAUUAGAUACCCCUGUAGUCCCUGUCUCUUAUAC